rnacentral:rRNA from 1 species
AUUGAACGCUGGCGGCAGGCUUAACACAUGCAAGUCGAGCGGGGAAAGGUAGCUUGCUACUGGACCUAGCGGCGGACGGGUGAGUAAUGCUUAGGAAUCUGCCUAUUAGUGGGGGACAACGUUCCGAAAGGAACGCUAAUACCGCAUACGCCCUACGGGGGAAAGCAGGGGAUCUUCGGACCUUGCGCUAAUAGAUGACCCUAAGUCGGUUUAGCUAGUUGGUGGGGUAAAGGCCUACCAAGGCGACGAUCUGUAGCGGGUCUGAGAGGAUGAUCCGCCACACUGGGACUGAGACACGGCCCAGACUCCUACGGGAGGCAGCAGUGGGGAAUAUUGGACAAUGGGCGGAAGCCUGAUCCAGCCAUGCCGCGUGUGUGAAGAAGGCCUUUUGGUUGUAAAGCGCUUUAAGCGAGGAGGAGGCUCCUUUAGUUAAUACCUAAAGAGAGUGGACGUUACUCGCAGAAUAAGCACCGGCUAACUCUGUGCCAGCCGCCGCCGUAAAAC